AUUGAACGUUGGCGGCAGGCUUAACACAUGCAAGUCGAGCGGAGACUUCGGUCUUAGCGGCGAACGGGUGAGUAAUACCUAGGAAUCUGCCUAUUAGUGGGGGAUAACGGCUCGAAAGGGUCGCUAAUACCGCAUACGUCCUACGGGAGAAAGUGGGGGAUCUUCGGACCUCACGCUAAUAGAUGAGCCUAGGCCGGAUUAGCUAGUUGGUAGGGUAAAGGCCUACCAAGGCGACGAUCCGUAGCUGGUCUGAGAGGAUGAUCAGCCACACUGGAACUGAGAUACGGUCCAGACUCCUACGGGAGGCAGCAGUGGGGAAUAUUGGACAAUGGGCGCAAGCCUGAUCCAGCCAUGCCGCGUGUGUGAAGAAGGCCUUCGGGUUGUAAAGCACUUUAAGCGAGGAGGAAGGUCUUUGAACUAAUAUUUCAAAGAAUUGACGUUACUCGCAGAAUAAGCACCGGCUAACUCUGUGCCAGCAGCCGCGGUAAUACAGAGGGUGCAAGCGUUAAUCGGAAUUACUGGGCGUAAAGCGCGCGUAGGCGGUAUGUUAAGUCGGAUGUGAAAUCCCUGGGCUCAACCUAGGCAUUGCAUCCGAUACUGGCACACUAGAGUGUGGGAGAGGAAGGUAGAAUUCCAGGUGUAGCGGUGAAAUUCGUAGAUAUUCGUAAGAACACCAGUGGCGAAGCGACUUACUGGCUCGAUACUGACGCUAAGCGCGAAAGCGUGGGGAGCAAACAGGAUUAGAUACCUGGUAGUCCACGCUGUAACGAUGAGUGCUAGAUGUUGGCGAGAAUUCAUCAGUGUCGCAGCUAACGCAUUAGCAACUCCGCUGGGAGUACGGUCGCAAGAUUAAACUCAAGAAUGACGGG
rnacentral:rRNA from 1 species